AUGCUCACUUUGGCAGCAUAUAUCCUAAAAUCAAAAUGACAAAGAGAAGAGAAGAUUUGCAUGGACCCUGCACAAGGAUAGCACACAAGUUUGUGAAACAGUUCAUAUUUUU